GCCGGGCAUGGUGGCAGGUGCCUGUAGUCCCAGCUACUCAGGAGGCUGAGGCAGGAGAAUCGCUUGAACCCAGGAGGUUGAGGUUGCAGUGAGCCGAGGUUGCGCCACUGCACUCCAGCCUGAGUGACAGAGUGAGACCUUGUCUCUA
rnacentral:sRNA from 1 species